CGGACCCAUGGUCAUGAAACUUCAGACAUGGAGCAUCCAGCUCUGUGUGCAGAUGAGACAGCAAAAUAUCACGGAGGAAAAGCUGAUCUGCUCAAGUGCCACAGCCUGGAUCCAAGGUUUCCGUGACCCCAAAGCUGCUGUCAUUAUUCCUGCAGGAGAAAUAUCUCUGCUCAUGCUGGCUUCCUAUCUAUAAUUCUAUAAGUCGCUGCUAGAUGGCUAACACAAGCGUCUGCUAUUCAAGAAGGAGACUCUACCAGCCAGAAUUGGAGAACAAGCUAAGCAAGGACCCUUCUGAGAACACCCGUCGGAUUUAGUGCUGCCUAGCUGCCACAUUACAAAUUAGUUCUUGAGCAGAUGAACUGCAUGUAGAUUGUGCCGCAAAGU